UGGACCCGUGAUUAUAUCUGCCGGCGUAUGAGUCUAGCAUCAUGAAUGAAUAUGUGUCUGUGACUCUGAGGUCCAG
rnacentral:snoRNA from 1 species